CAGCAGUGGGGAAUAUUGCACAAUGGGCGCAAGCCUGAUGCAGCCAUGCCGCGUGUGUGAAGAAGGCCUUCGGGUUGUAAAGCACUUUCAGUCGUGAGGAAGGUGGUAGUGUUAAUAGCACUAUCAUUUGACGUUAGCGACAGAAGAAGCACCGGCUAACUCCGUGCCAGCAGCCGCGGUAAUACGGAGGGUGCGAGCGUUAAUCGGAAUUACUGGGCGUAAAGCGCAUGCAGGUGGUUUGUUAAGUCAGAUGUGAAAGCCCGGGGCUCAACCUCGGAACUGCAUUUGAAACUGGCAGACUAGAGUACUGUAGAGGGGGGUAGAAUUUCAGGUGUAGCGGUGAAAUGCGUAGAGAUCUGAAGGAAUACCGGUGGCGAAGGCGGCCCCCUGGACAGAUACUGACACUCAGAUGCGAAAGCGUGGGGAGCAAACAGGAUUAGAUACCCUGGUAGUCCACGCUGUAAACGAUGUCUACUUGGAGGUUGUGGCCUUGAGCCGUGGCUUUCGGAGCUAACGCGUUAAGUAGA
rnacentral:rRNA from 1 species